GCAUAUCAAUAAGCGGAGGAAAAGAAACCAACAGGGAUUGCCUUAGUAGCGGCGAGUGAAGCGGCAAAAGCUCAAAUUUGAAAUCUGGCACCUUCGGUGUCCGAGUUGUAAUUUGAAGAUUGUAACCUUGGGGUUGGCUCUUGUCUAUGUUUCUUGGAACAGGACGUCACAGAGGGUGAGAAUCCCGUGCGAUGAGAUGCCCAAUCCUAUGUAAGGUGCUUUCGAAGAGUCGAGUUGUUUGGGAAUGCAGCUCUAAGUGGGUGGUAAAUUCCAUCUAAAGCUAAAUAUUGGCGAGAGACCGAUAGCGAACAAGUACAGUGAUGGAAAGAUGAAAAGAACUUUGAAAAGAGAGUGAAAAAGUACGUGAAAUUGUUGAAAGGGAAGGGUUUGAGAUCAGACUCGAUAUUUUGUGAGCCUUGCCUUCGUGGCGGGGUGACCCGCAGCUUAUCGGGCCAGCAUCGGUUUGGGCGGUAGGAUAAUGGCGUAGGAAUGUGACUUUGCUUCGGUGAAGUGUUAUAGCCUGCGUUGAUGCUGCCUGCCUAGACCGAGGACUGCGAUUUUAUCAAGGAUGCUGGCAUAAUGAUCCCAAACCGCCCGUCUUGAACCACGGACCA
rnacentral:rRNA from 1 species